AACCUUAUGGACCUGCGGGCGUAUACCUGCGGAGGGAUCAUUACACAAUAAACAUAUGAAGGCUGCACCGCCAACAGGCGGCAAGGCUGGAGUAUUUUAUUACCCUUGUCUUUUGCGCACUUGUUGUUUCCUGGGCGGGUUCGCCCGCCUCCAGGACCACAUGAUAAACCUUUUUUAUGCAGUUGCAAUCAGCGUCAGUACAACAAAUGUAAAUCAUUUACAACUUUCAACAAUGGAUCU
rnacentral:misc_RNA from 1 species